GGUGCUUGCUGUGGAAACUGGAAAUGCUGACGAGGAGUCACAAAAUGCUUCCUCGUCUGAUGUAAUGUCAUUGGAGCUGGGGAAGACAAGUAGACCAGCAAAAAUUCAGCUAGAGGGAAGAGGCUUAGAGCCCCAGAGAGAUGGAUUCUGAUUCCAGACCUGCUACUUACUUGCUGUGUGAGCUUGGGCAACCAACUCAACCUCUCUGUAACUCAGUUCCUGCAUCUGCAAAGCGGAUCUAUAAGGUUCAGUUGCAGCAGAAAUCUUGGGGCGGAGGGGGGUGCUGGUGGCACUGGUCUGAAGAGAGAGGAAAACAACGGUGGAUUAGCUGCUUCACCACCUCCAGAGAGAGCACCUUGCUCAGUUCCAUUGGAUCAAGGUUUAGUAUAGUGCAUGCAUUUCCCUCACAUGAUAAUAUAGGAUCAUCCACCACAAGAGAAACUGAAUGCACUCCGAGGGGCUUAGAGUCAGGCACUGAGUGUCUUAAAAAUGAGAGGAAUAUAAACAAAGGAGACAAACGAUGUCAGUUGACAGCUUAACAGUUCUACAAGAUUCAUGUGCAAUUAAUAACAGGGCUUUUGAUCUUGCAACCAGUGACUAUGAAACCCAUGUGCUUUCCCUGUAAACUUGACUGUAUAUAAGGAAGCAAAAGGAUAAAUACUUUUUUAUUAGCAUUAUGAAGUGCUUUUCACAUUAAGCCAGAACUUUGUAAAGCAUCUGUGGUCUGCCAUGAUAUGCCUUCAGUUUCAUCCUCCUGCAUGUAUGGAAUGCAUGGUGAAAUGCUUUCUAUGGUCUUUAUUCCAGUGCUUAGCAUGGGUCAGGGAAGCUGCGUGGAAGAGUUUGUUGGCUUUGUGACAGAGGUCCUACAGAAAACUUGUUUGAGUUAAUUGAAUUUUCAUUUUUCUUCCUAUGUAAAGAAAAAAACUACGUUUUUGAGGUUCAGCUCCCCACAUCAGCUAUUUAUUUGUUUUAAGUUUGUGGCCAUUUAAAAGCAUAUGAGCUUUCAUGAGGCUUUCUCAUAAACCCACUUUAUUCUGAAAUUAAAUUUAACGCUGAAAGAGUCUCCAUCUCCAGCCACGGUAAAGGGACAGUUCUGUGGUUUUGAUUGCUCAGAAUUUGUAAACCAGUGACGCUGGCUGGCUGGAGGCUGAGAACCUGAGUGCCUCCUGGAAAUAUAAAGAGCAAAAAUGGUGUUUCAGAGAUACCCACAAAGCUACCCAAUGGUUUUGAAUUCCAUGCUCAACCCCACAGAUAGACACAGUAUUCCAGCAGCAGUCACACCAAUGCCAAAUAUAGAGGUAAAAUAACCUUACUACUCCUAUUUAUGAUUCCCCAUUUAUGCAUUCCAGGAUUGCAUUAGCUCUUUUGGACACAGCGUCACAUUGGGAGCUCAAGAUCAGCUGAUUAUCCACCAUGACCCCAAAAUCUUUUUCAGAGAUAGAAUCCCCCAGCCUGUAAGUGUGGCCGACAUUCUUUGUUCCUAGGUGUGUACAUUUACGUUUAGCUGUAAUAAAAUACAUAUUGUUUGCUUGCACCCAGUUUACCAAUCGAUCCAGAUCACUCUGAAUCAGUAACCUGUCCUCUUCAUUAUUUACCACUCCUUAAAAUGAUGUGACA